rnacentral:rRNA from 1 species
GACGAACCGUGCGAACGUUAUUCGGAAUCACUGGGCUUAAAGCGCGUGUAGGCGGGACGCACGUCGGUAGCUGAAAUCCCCCGGCUCAACCGGGGAACGGGCGCCGAUACGACCGCCCUCGAGGGACGUAGGGGGACCUGGAACUUCCGGUGGAGCGGUGAAAUGCGUAGAGAUGUGGAGGAACACCGAUGGCGAAGGCAGCCCCCUGGGUCAAGAUUGACGCUCAUGCACGAAAGCGUGGGGAGCAAACAGG